UAGGGAAUCUUCCGCAAUGGGCGAAAGCCUGACGGAGCAACGCCGCGUGAGUGAUGAAGGUCUUCGGAUCGUAAAACUCUGUUAUUAGGGAAGAACAAAUGUGUAAGUAUCUAUGCACGUCCUGACGUUACCUAAUCAGAAAGCCACGGCUAACUACGUGCCAGCAGCCGCGGUAAUACGUAGGUGGCAAGCGUUAUUCGGAAUUAUUGGGCGUAAAGCGCGCGUAGGCGGUUUUUUAAGUCUGUUGUGAAAGCCCACGGCUCAACCGGGGAGGGUCAUUGGAAACUGGAAAACUUGAGUGCAGAAGAGGGAGGUGGAAUUCCAGGUGUAGCGGUGAAAUGCGCAGAGAUGUGGAGGAACACCAGUGGCGAAGGCGACUUACUGGUCUGUAACUGACGCUGAUGGGCGAAAGCGUGGGGAUCAAACAGG
rnacentral:rRNA from 1 species